rnacentral:rRNA from 1 species
GACGAACGCUGGCGGCGUGCUUAACACAUGCAAGUCGAACGGAAAGGCCCUGCUUUUGUGGGGUGCUCGAGUGGCGAACGGGUGAGUAACACGUGAGUAACCUGCCCUUGACUUUGGGAUAACUUCAGGAAACUGGGGCUAAUACCUGAUAGGAUCUCCUGCUGCAUGGUGGGGGUUGUAAAGUUUCGGCGGUUGGGGAUGGACUCGCGGCUUAUCAGCUUGUUGGUGGGGUAGUGGCUUACCAAGGCUUUGACGGGUAGCCGGCCUGAGAGGGUGACCGGCCACAUUGGGACUGAGAUACGGCACAGACUACUACGGGAGGCAGCAGUGGGGAAUAUUGCAAAAUGGGCGGAAGCCUGAUGCAGCAACGCCGCGUGCGGGAUGACGGCAUUCGGGUUGUAAACCGCUUUCGCCUGUGACGAAGCGUGAGUGACGGUAAUGGGUAAAGAAGCACCGGCUAACUACGUG